rnacentral:misc_RNA from 1 species
GAACGGAUGAAACACCUUUUUUAUGAGGUCCCAGUAAGGGUUGCUGGAGGGCUGCUGUUUGAACUCUUGGGGCAAUCAGUUGGUGAUCCAUUUGUUGAAGAGGAUGACAUUCCUAUUGUGAUGCGCUCUUGGCAAGCACAAAAUUUUCUAAUCACUGCAUUGCACAUAAAAGGGCAUGUGUCAAAAGUAAAUGUUUUGGGCAUCACUGAAGUUCAGGAGAAUCUUUCUGCUGGAGGUUAUAAUUCACCAAGAACAGUGCAUGAAAUCAUAGCACUACUAGCAUGCCGCCUUACUCGGUGGGAUGAUAGGUUAUUUCGCAAGUCCAUAUUUGGGGCAGCAGAUGAGAUCGAAUUGAAAUUUAUGAACAGAAGAAACCAUGAAGAUAUGAAUCUCUUCAGUAUUAUUUUGAACCAAGAAAUCAGAAGGUUAUCAAGACAGGUUAUUAGAGUGAAAUGGUCACUCCAUGCAAGAGAGGAGAUUGUUUUUGAGCUGCUUCAUCAGUUGAGAGGAAAUGCAACAAGAGCAUUUUUAGAGGAAAUAAGGAAGAGCACUAGAGAAAUGAUGGAGGAGCAAGAAGCAGUUCGUGGUCGCUUGUUUACCAUUCAAGAUGUUAUGCAAAGCACGGUUCGGGCAUGGUUGCAGGAUAGAAGCCUACGUGUAACCCAUAAUUUGGCUGUUUUUGGAGGCUGCGGCCUUGUUCUUUCAAUCAUUACUGGGUUGUUUGGAAUCAAUGUGGAUGGGAUCCCUGGAGCGAACAAUACACCAUAUGCAUUUGGUCUGUUUGCAGCUCUCCUGGUGUUCAUAGGUGUGGUGCUAAUUGCAGUUGGGUUGCUUUACCUUGGUUUGAAGCAACCCAUCACUGAAGAGAAGGUUGAAGUAAGAAAGUUGGAAUUGCAAGAACUAGUGAAGAUGUUUCAGCAUGAGGCAGAGACUCAUGCCCAGGUUCACAAAAAUGUGUAUCGAAGCAACUUGACCCCAACUUCUGGAGAUGACGUGGAUUAUCUUCUCAUCCAAUGAAGACGUGGAUUAUUGUAAUCAGUAAAAUGGAGUCUUGAACGCUUUGACGGCGGGAGUAACAUUGGUGAAUUGGCAAUGAUCAAUUUCACUUGUAAACAUGGUCUUGGUUCCCUAGGCUUUAAUGGUUAUAGUCCAAAGAAAGAAAAAAGAAUAAAUUUCAUACAUAGGAAUAAGCUUAUACACAGUUAGCAUCUAUAUCCAUCAACCACUG